UACGUAGGGAGCAAGCGUUGUCCGGAAUCAUUGGGCAUAAAGCGCGCGUAGGCGGCCCUGUAAGUCCGUUGUGAAAGUCAAAGGCUCAACCUUUGAAAGCCGAUGGAUACUGCAGGGCUAGAGUCCGGAAGAGGCGAGUGGAAUUCCUGGUGUAGCGGUGGAAUGCGCAGAUAUCAGGAGGAACACCCAUAGCGAAGGCAGCUCGCUGGGACGGUACUGACGCUAAGGCGCGAAAGCGUGGGGAGCGAACAGG
rnacentral:rRNA from 1 species